rnacentral:sRNA from 1 species
GCUCAGAAGCGCCGAGAGCGCGGCCGGGACGGUUGGAGAAGAAGGCGGCUCCCGGAAGGGGGAGCGACAAACUGCCGUAACCUCUGCCGUUCAGGAGCCCGGUUACUUAUUUAUUCGUUACCCUUUUUCUUCUUCCUCCCCCAAAAACCUUUUCCUUUCCCCUUCUUUUUUUUUCCUUUUUGGGAGCUGAAAAAUUUCCGGUAAGGGAAAGAAGGGCUCCUUUCGCUCCUUAUUUCCCCGCCUCCUUCCCUCCCCCACCUUCCCCUCCUCCGGCUUUUUCCUCCCAACUCGGGGAGGUCCUUCCCGGUGGCCGCCCUGACGAGGUCUGAGCACCUAGGCGGAGGCGGCGCAGGCUUUUUGUAGUGAGGUUUGCGCCUGCGCAGCGCGCCUGCCUCCGCCAUGCACGGGGGUGGCCCCCCCUCGGGGGACAGCGCAUGCCCGCUGCGCACCAUCAAGAGAGUCCAGUUCGGAGUCCUGAGUCCGGAUGAACUGAAGCGAAUGUCUGUGACGGAGGGUGGCAUCAAAUACCCAGAGACGACUGAGGGAGGCCGCCCCAAGCUUGGGGGGCUGAUGGACCCGAGGCAGGGGGUGAUUGAGCGGACUGGCCGCUGCCAAACAUGUGCAGGAAACAUGACAGAGUGUCCUGGCCACUUUGGCCACAUUGAACUGGCCAAGCCUGUGUUUCACGUGGGCUUCCUGGUGAAGACAAUGAAAGUUUUGCGCUGUGUCUGCUUCUUCUGCUCCAAACUGCUUGUGGACUCUAACAACCCAAAGAUCAAGGACAUCCUGGCUAAGUCCAAGGGACAGCCCAAGAAGCGGCUCACACAUGUCUACGACCUUUGCAAGGGCAAAAACAUAUGCGAGGGUGGGGAGGAGAUGGACAACAAGUUCGGUGUGGAACAACCUGAGGGUGACGAGGAUCUGACCAAAGAAAAGGGCCAUGGUGGCUGUGGGCGGUACCAGCCCAGGAUCCGGCGUUCUGGCCUAGAGCUGUAUGCGGAAUGGAAGCACGUUAAUGAGGACUCUCAGGAGAAGAAGAUCCUGCUGAGUCCAGAGCGAGUGCAUGAGAUCUUCAAACGCAUCUCAGAUGAGGAGUGUUUUGUGCUGGGCAUGGAGCCCCGCUAUGCACGGCCAGAGUGGAUGAUUGUCACAGUGCUGCCUGUGCCCCCGCUCUCCGUGCGGCCUGCUGUUGUGAUGCAGGGCUCUGCCCGUAACCAGGAUGACCUGACUCACAAACUGGCUGACAUCGUGAAGAUCAACAAUCAGCUGCGGCGCAAUGAGCAGAACGGUGCAGCGGCCCAUGUCAUUGCAGAGGAUGUGAAGCUCCUCCAGUUCCAUGUGGCCACCAUGGUGGACAAUGAACUGCCUGGCUUGCCCCGUGCCAUGCAGAAGUCUGGGCGUCCCCUCAAGUCCCUGAAGCAGCGGUUGAAGGGCAAGGAAGGCCGGGUGCGAGGGAACCUGAUGGGCAAAAGAGUGGACUUCUCGGCCCGUACUGUUAUCACCCCCGACCCCAACCUCUCCAUUGACCAGGUUGGCGUGCCCCGCUCCAUUGCUGCCAACAUGACCUUUGCGGAGAUUGUCACCCCCUUCAACAUUGACAGACUUCAAGAACUAGUGCGCAGGGGGAACAGCCAGUACCCAGGCGCCAAGUACAUCAUCCGAGACAAUGGUGAUCGCAUUGACUUGCGUUUCCACCCCAAGCCCAGUGACCUUCACCUGCAGACCGGCUAUAAGGUGGAACGGCACAUGUGUGAUGGGGACAUUGUUAUCUUCAACCGGCAGCCAACUCUGCACAAAAUGUCCAUGAUGGGGCAUCGGGUCCGCAUUCUCCCCUGGUCUACCUUUCGCUUGAAUCUUAGUGUGACAACUCCGUACAAUGCAGACUUUGACGGGGAUGAGAUGAACUUGCACCUGCCACAGUCUCUGGAGACGCGAGCAGAGAUCCAGGAGCUGGCCAUGGUUCCUCGCAUGAUUGUCACCCCCCAGAGCAAUCGGCCUGUCAUGGGUAUUGUGCAGGACACACUCACAGCAGUGCGCAAAUUCACCAAGAGAGACGUCUUCCUGGAGCGGGGUGAAGUGAUGAACCUCCUGAUGUUCCUGUCGACGUGGGACGGGAAGGUCCCACAGCCGGCCAUCCUAAAGCCCCGGCCCCUGUGGACAGGCAAGCAAAUCUUCUCCCUCAUCAUACCUGGUCACAUCAAUUGUAUCCGUACCCACAGCACCCAUCCCGAUGAUGAAGACAGUGGCCCUUACAAGCACAUCUCUCCUGGGGACACCAAGGUGGUGGUGGAGAAUGGGGAGCUGAUCAUGGGCAUCCUGUGUAAGAAGUCUCUGGGCACGUCAGCUGGCUCCCUGGUCCACAUCUCCUACCUAGAGAUGGGUCAUGACAUCACUCGCCUCUUCUACUCCAACAUUCAGACUGUCAUUAACAACUGGCUCCUCAUCGAGGGUCAUACUAUUGGCAUUGGGGACUCCAUUGCUGAUUCUAAGACUUACCAGGACAUUCAGAACACUAUUAAGAAGGCCAAGCAGGACGUAAUAGAGGUCAUCGAGAAGGCACACAACAAUGAGCUGGAGCCCACCCCAGGGAACACUCUGCGGCAGACGUUUGAGAAUCAGGUGAACCGCAUUCUUAACGAUGCCCGAGACAAGACUGGCUCCUCUGCUCAGAAAUCCCUGUCUGAAUACAACAACUUCAAGUCUAUGGUCGUGUCCGGAGCUAAAGGUUCCAAGAUUAACAUCUCCCAGGUCAUUGCUGUCGUCGGACAGCAGAACGUCGAGGGCAAGCGGAUUCCAUUUGGCUUCAAGCACCGGACUCUGCCUCACUUCAUCAAGGAUGACUAUGGGCCUGAGAGCCGUGGCUUUGUGGAGAACUCCUACCUAGCCGGCCUCACACCCACUGAGUUCUUUUUCCACGCCAUGGGGGGUCGUGAGGGGCUCAUUGACACGGCUGUCAAGACUGCUGAGACUGGAUACAUCCAGCGGCGGCUGAUCAAGUCCAUGGAGUCAGUGAUGGUGAAGUACGACGCGACUGUGCGGAACUCCAUCAACCAGGUGGUGCAGCUGCGCUACGGCGAAGACGGCCUGGCAGGCGAGAGCGUUGAGUUCCAGAACCUGGCUACGCUUAAGCCUUCCAACAAGGCUUUUGAGAAGAAGUUCCGCUUUGAUUAUACCAAUGAGAGGGCCCUGCGGCGCACUCUGCAGGAGGACCUGGUGAAGGACGUGCUGAGCAACGCACACAUCCAGAACGAGUUGGAGCGGGAAUUUGAGCGGAUGCGGGAGGAUCGGGAGGUGCUCAGGGUCAUCUUCCCAACUGGAGACAGCAAGGUCGUCCUCCCCUGUAACCUGCUGCGGAUGAUCUGGAAUGCUCAGAAAAUCUUCCACAUCAACCCACGCCUUCCCUCCGACCUGCACCCCAUCAAAGUGGUGGAGGGAGUCAAGGAAUUGAGCAAGAAGCUGGUGAUUGUGAAUGGGGAUGACCCACUAAGUCGACAGGCCCAGGAAAAUGCCACGCUGCUCUUCAACAUCCACCUGCGGUCCACGUUGUGUUCCCGCCGCAUGGCAGAGGAGUUUCGGCUCAGUGGGGAGGCCUUCGACUGGCUGCUUGGGGAGAUUGAGUCCAAGUUCAACCAAGCCAUUGCGCAUCCCGGGGAAAUGGUGGGGGCUCUGGCUGCGCAGUCCCUUGGAGAACCUGCCACCCAGAUGACCUUGAAUACCUUCCACUAUGCUGGUGUGUCUGCCAAGAAUGUGACGCUGGGUGUGCCCCGACUUAAGGAGCUCAUCAACAUUUCCAAGAAGCCAAAGACCCCUUCGCUUACUGUCUUCCUGUUGGGCCAGUCUGCUCGAGAUGCUGAGAGAGCCAAGGAUAUUCUGUGCCGUCUGGAGCAUACAACGUUGAGGAAGGUGACUGCCAACACAGCCAUCUACUAUGACCCCAACCCCCAGAGCACGGUGGUGGCAGAGGAUCAGGAAUGGGUGAAUGUCUACUAUGAAAUGCCUGACUUUGAUGUGGCCCGAAUCUCCCCCUGGCUGUUGCGGGUGGAGCUGGAUCGGAAGCACAUGACUGACCGGAAGCUCACCAUGGAGCAGAUUGCUGAAAAGAUCAAUGCUGGUUUUGGUGAUGACUUGAAUUGCAUCUUUAAUGAUGACAAUGCAGAGAAGCUGGUGCUCCGUAUUCGCAUCAUGAACAGCGAUGAGAACAAGAUGCAAGAGGAGGAAGAGGUGGUGGACAAGAUGGAUGAUGAUGUCUUCCUGCGCUGCAUCGAGUCCAACAUGCUGACAGAUAUGACCCUGCAGGGCAUCGAGCAGAUCAGCAAGGUGUACAUGCACUUGCCACAGACAGACAACAAGAAGAAGAUCAUCAUCACGGAGGAUGGGGAAUUCAAGGCCCUGCAGGAGUGGAUCCUGGAGACGGACGGCGUGAGCUUGAUGCGGGUGCUGAGUGAGAAGGACGUGGACCCCGUACGCACCACGUCCAAUGACAUUGUGGAGAUCUUCACGGUGCUGGGCAUUGAAGCCGUGCGGAAGGCCCUGGAGCGGGAGCUGUACCACGUCAUCUCCUUUGAUGGCUCCUAUGUCAAUUACCGACACUUGGCUCUCUUGUGUGAUACCAUGACCUGUCGUGGCCACUUGAUGGCCAUCACCCGACACGGAGUCAACCGCCAGGACACAGGACCACUCAUGAAGUGUUCCUUUGAGGAAACGGUGGACGUGCUUAUGGAAGCAGCCGCACACGGUGAGAGUGACCCCAUGAAGGGGGUCUCUGAGAAUAUCAUGCUGGGCCAGCUGGCUCCGGCCGGCACCGGCUGCUUUGACCUCCUGCUUGAUGCAGAGAAGUGCAAGUAUGGCAUGGAGAUCCCCACCAAUAUCCCCGGCCUGGGGGCUGCUGGACCCACCGGCAUGUUCUUUGGUUCAGCACCCAGUCCCAUGGGUGGAAUCUCUCCUGCCAUGACACCUUGGAACCAGGGUGCAACCCCUGCCUAUGGCGCCUGGUCCCCCAGUGUUGGGAGUGGAAUGACCCCAGGGGCAGCCGGCUUCUCUCCCAGUGCUGCGUCAGAUGCCAGCGGCUUCAGCCCAGGUUACUCCCCUGCCUGGUCUCCCACACCGGGCUCCCCGGGGUCCCCAGGUCCCUCAAGCCCCUACAUCCCUUCACCAGGUGGUGCCAUGUCUCCCAGCUACUCGCCAACGUCACCUGCCUACGAGCCCCGCUCUCCUGGGGGCUACACACCCCAGAGUCCCUCUUAUUCCCCCACUUCACCCUCCUACUCCCCUACCUCUCCAUCCUAUUCUCCAACCAGUCCCAACUAUAGUCCCACAUCACCCAGCUAUUCACCAACGUCACCCAGCUACUCACCGACCUCUCCCAGCUACUCACCGACCUCUCCCAGCUACUCGCCCACCUCUCCCAGCUACUCGCCCACCUCUCCCAGCUACUCGCCCACCUCUCCCAGCUACUCACCCACUUCCCCUAGCUACUCGCCAACGUCUCCCAGCUACUCGCCGACAUCUCCCAGCUACUCGCCAACUUCACCCAGCUAUUCUCCCACUUCUCCCAGCUACUCACCUACCUCUCCAAGCUAUUCACCCACCUCCCCCAGCUACUCACCCACUUCCCCAAGUUACUCACCCACCAGCCCGAACUAUUCUCCAACCAGUCCCAAUUACACCCCAACAUCACCCAGCUACAGCCCGACAUCACCCAGCUAUUCACCUACUAGUCCCAACUACACGCCUACCAGCCCUAACUACAGCCCAACCUCUCCAAGCUACUCUCCAACAUCACCCAGCUAUUCCCCGACCUCACCAAGUUACUCCCCUUCCAGCCCACGAUACACACCACAGUCUCCAACCUAUACCCCAAGCUCACCCAGCUACAGCCCCAGCUCGCCCAGCUACAGCCCAACCUCACCCAAGUACACCCCAACCAGUCCUUCUUACAGUCCCAGCUCCCCAGAGUAUACCCCAACCUCUCCCAAGUACUCACCUACCAGUCCCAAAUAUUCACCCACCUCUCCCAAGUACUCGCCUACCAGUCCCACCUAUUCACCCACCACGCCAAAAUACUCCCCAACAUCUCCUACUUAUUCCCCAACCUCUCCAGUCUACACCCCAACCUCUCCCAAGUACUCACCUACUAGCCCUACUUACUCGCCCACUUCCCCCAAGUACUCGCCCACCAGCCCCACCUACUCACCCACCUCCCCCAAAGGCUCAACCUACUCUCCCACUUCCCCUGGUUACUCACCCACCAGCCCCACCUACAGUCUCACAAGCCCGGCUAUCAGCCCGGAUGACAGUGACGAGGAGAACUGAGGGCACGUGGGGUUGCGGCAGCGGGCUAGGGCCCAGGGCAGCUUGCCCGUGCUGCUGUGCAGUUCUUGCCUCCCUCACGGGGCAUCACCCCCAGCCCAGCUCCGUUGUACAUAAAUGCCUUGUGGCAGAGCUCCCGGUGAACUUCUGGAUCCCGUUUCUGAUGCAGACUCUUGUUCUCCACUCAUGCUGUUAGAACUCACUGGCCCAGUGGUGUUCUCACUCCUACCCCACCCACCCCCUGCCUGUCCCCAAAUUGAAGAUCCUUCCUUGCCUGUGGCUUGAUGCGGGGCGGGUAAAGGGUAUUUUAACUUAGGGGUAGUUCCUGCUGUGAGUGGUUACAGCUGAUCCUCGGGAAGAACAAAGCUAAAGCUGCCUUUUGUCUGUUAUUUUAUUUUUUUGAAGUUUAAAUAAAGUUUACUAAUUUUGACCAAAA